rnacentral:rRNA from 1 species
UACGUAGGGCGCAAGCGUUGUCCGGAAUUAUUGGGCGUAAAGAGCUCGUAGGCGGUUUGUCGCGUCUUCUGUGAAAACCUAAGGCUCAACCUUGGGCUUGCAGUGGGUACGGGCAGACUAGAGUGCGGUAGGGGUGACUGGAAUUCCUGGUGUAGCGGUGGAAUGCGCAGAUAUCAGGAGGAACACCGAUGGCGAACGCAGGUCACUGGGCCGCAACUGACGCUGAGGAGCGAAAGCAUGGGGAGCGAACAGG